GGGGACCUACGGGGGGCAGCAGUGGGGAAUAUUGCACAAUGGGGGGAACCCUGAUGCAGCGACGCCGCGUGAGUGAAGAAGUAUUUCGGUAUGUAAAGCUCUAUCAGCAGGGAAGAUAAUGACGGUACCUGACUAAGAAGCCCCGGCUAACUACGUGCCAGCAGCCGCGGUAAUACGUAGGGGGCAAGCGUUAUCCGGAUUUACUGGGUGUAAAGGGUGCGUAGGUGGCAGGGCAAGUCAGCGGUAAAAUCGCGGGGCUCAACCUCGCUCCGCCGUUGAAACUGGCGUUCUUGAGUGGGCGAGAA
rnacentral:rRNA from 1 species